GAGGUUAUCGCUCAGUGGUAGAGCUCAUGCUUAGCGUGCACGAGGUCCUGGGUUCAACCCCCAAUACCUCCA
rfam:Camelus ferus unplaced genomic scaffold scaffold954, whole genome shotgun sequence.